rnacentral:rRNA from 1 species
CCUACGGGUGGCUGCAGUGAGGAAUAUUGGUCAAUGGUCGGGAGACUGAACCAGCCAAGCCGCGUGAGGGAGGAAGGUACAGAGUAUCGUAAACCUCUUUUGUCAGGGAACAAAGACUGGGACGCGUCCCCGGAUGAGUGUACCUGAUGAAAAAGCAUCGGCUAACUCCGUGCCAGCAGCCGCGGUAAUACGGAGGAUGGGAGCGUUAUCCGGCUUUAUUGGGUUUAAGGGGUGCGCAGGCGGUCUGUUAAGUCAGCGGUCAAAGGCGGGGGCUAAACCUCAGCCGGCCGUUGAAACUGGCAGUCUCGAGUUGGAGAGAGGUAUGCGGAAUGCGCGGUGUAGCGGUGAAAUGCAUAGAUAUCGCGCAGAACUCCGAUUGCGAAGGCAGCAUGCCAGCUCCACACUGACGCUGAGGCACGAAAGCGUGGGUAUCGAACAGGAUUAGAUACCCCAGUAGUC